CAAAGGUAGCAUAAUCAUUAGUUUUUUAAUUGGAAACUGGUAUGAAAGGUCGGACAAAGGAAUAGCUGUCUAGAAUAUAAUAGUUGAAAUUUACUUUUAAGUUAAAAGGCUUAAAUGUCUCAAAGGGACGAUAAGACCCUAUAAAGCUUUACAUAUUAUUUAAACUUAACUCAUUUAGUUUAAUAAAGGUUAGAUUUGGUUGUUAUGUUUUGUUGGGGCGACAUAAAUAUAAUUAAUAUUAACUGUUUAAGUUGAAUACAGUAUAUAAGUGGUUUAGAAUGAAUGAUCCUUUAUAAAGAUUAGGAGAUUAAGUUACUUUAGGGAUAACAGCGUUAUUUUUCUUGAGAGUUCAUAUCGAAAGAGAAGUUUGCGACCUCGAUGUUGAAUUAAAAUUUCUAUUUAGUGCAGCCGCUAAAAAAGAAGGUCUGUUCGACCUUUAAAUUUUUACAUGAUUUGAGUUC
rnacentral:rRNA from 1 species